rnacentral:siRNA from 1 species
AUUCUCAAACUUUAAAUAGGUAG